UACGGAGGAUGCGAGCGUUAUCCGGAUUUAUUGGGUUUAAAGGGUGCGUAGGCGGCUUUUUAAGUCAGCGGUGAAAUUUUGCAGCUUAACUGUAACAGUGCCGUUGAUACUGGGGAGCUAGGAUUUGGUUGCUGUGGGUGGAAUGUGUGGUGUAGCGGUGAAAUGCUUAGAGAUCACACAGAAUAUCGAUUGCGAAGGCAGCUCACAAAGCCAAGAUUGACGCUGAGGCACGAAAGUGUGGGGAUCAAACAGGAUUAGAUA
rnacentral:rRNA from 1 species